UACGUAGGGUGCAAGCGUUAUCCGGAAUUAUUGAGCGUAAAGAGCUCGUAGGCGGUUUGUCGCGUCUGCUGUGAAAUCCCGCGGCUCAACUGCGGGUCUGCAGUCGAUACGGGCAGGCUAGAGUUCGGUAGGGGAGACUGGAAUUCCUGGUGUAGCGGUGAAAUGCGCAGAUAUCAGGAGGAACACCGGUGGCGAAGGCGGGUCUCUGGGCCGAUACUGACGCUGAGGAGCGAAAGCGUGGGGAGCGAACAGG
rnacentral:rRNA from 1 species